GAGGAUCUAGAUCAGCUAUUAAACACUAUCACAAAUUGCGAGAUGAACUUCAAAAGGAGCCUAAUCUGUUUGAGUGCUUUGAGCAUAUGCACAAAAAGAAGAAUGGUACAUUUGUUGAUGAGAGGUCAAAGAGAAUCGAUGACGAAAUACAAGCAUGACAUGAUGCUGCA